rnacentral:rRNA from 1 species
UACAGAGGGUGCAAGCGUUAAUCGGAAUUACUGGGCGUAAAGCGAACGUAGGCGGUUAUCUAAGUCGGAUGUGAAAUCCCCGGGCUCAACCUGGGAAUUGCAUUCGAGACUGAAUAGCUAGAAUGCGGAAGAGGGAAGCGGAAUUUCCGGUGUAGCGGUGAAAUGCGUAGAUAUCAGGGGGAACACCGGUGGCGAAGGCGCACAUCUGGCCCGAUACUGACGCUGACAGCGCGAAAGCUAGGGGAGCAAACGGG